rnacentral:rRNA from 1 species
GACGAACGCUGGCGGCGUGCUUAACACAUGCAAGUCGAACGGAAAGGCCCUGCUUUUGUGGGGUGCUCGAGUGGCGAACGGGUGAGUAACACGUGAGUAACCUGCCCUUGACUUUGGGAUAACUUCAGGAAACUGGGGCUAAUACCGGAUAGGAUCUCCUGCUGCAUGGUGGGGGUUGGAAAGUUUCGGCGGUUGGGGAUGGACUCGCGGCUUAUCAGCUUGUUGGUGGGGUAGUGGCUUACCAAGGCUUUGACGGGUAGCCUGCCUGAGAGGGUGACCGGCGACAAUGGGCCUGAGGGACGGCGCAGACUCCAACGGGAGGCAGCAGGGGGGAAUCUUGCACAAUGAGCGGAAGCCUGAUGCAACAGCGCCGCGUGCGGGAUGACCGCCUUCGGGUUGUAAACAGCUGUCGCCUGUGACGAAGCGUGAGUGACGGUAAUGGGUAAAGAAGCACCGGCUAACUACGUG